rnacentral:lncRNA from 1 species
UUGGCCCAUGCCCAAUCGAAUUGGGCCCAUGUACAAAGAGGAAAUGAAGCCACAUGGUAUAGGUGAUGAGAAAAUAAACGCGAGGAGACAAUAGGCGACGAGCAAGGCGAGCGGCGAGCAAGGCGAACGACGAGCGACGAGUAAUAAAUGACGAGUAGGAAGUAGAAAGUGCCACCUCAAUACUUAAUCACUAAGGCUUGGACUUGAAGUCACUUUAUUAAGUAAAAUGAAUAAACCUGAGUUGAUCUCUUCAACCAGCAUUCAACAUUUUUGGCAGCUCGAGUUUUCUUUUACGAGGCGAAUUCCAAUAUAUUAAUGUGAUAUAAAUUUCAAUAAUUACUUGCACAAUGAGAAUUUCUUUCAGGGUUUUUGACUAUUCACCAAGUACUCAACUUCAAAAUAUUUUUCAACUGGAUUUGGGAUAAUACAUAAAAUGCUCAUUAUUAAUGUGUUUUGAAAAGAAUUGAGAUGAGCCUCUCCGGCCUCUAUAUGCGUGAUCAGUAUAUGUGUGCUUUAUGUGAUUAUAUGUUUUCUGAGCAUUGUUCAUAAUUGAGCUGGGGAUUGAGGUUGAGUUUUAUAAUGGUAUCGAAAGGGAGUUUCUUGAAUUACUAGCGUCAAAUCUGUUAAAUUUAAUAUUACAUUCAUGUGAUAAGUGACCGAAUCAUGACCAUGUCUAUUGAAUCGGGUUAGUGAAGGAACUCGCUUACUGCGAGUGAGGCUAUUUUAUGUGAGAAUAACUACAAUGGAGGUUUUACACCUAAUGUGUUUCUUGUUUGCGAUUCGAUUUCUGUUUUUCGUUCGUUUUUCGUUGGGUGUAGAGUAGAGUAACUCGCAAAUUAGUCUACAAAGCUAGUGACUGGGAGAGAUACGUGAAGUUGUAUAUUUUUUAAUCGUAAGAAAUUAACUUGCGGGGUCCGGCUUCUAGUUUUUGUUACUACUCAUGACAUCGAGGGGUUUUCUACAUAAAACGUUUUCAUAUUUUUCAUAGAUAUAACACGGAGAGAAUGAUACUAUUGAUAUAUCCUAACUCACUAACUCAUCGCAAGCUUUGAACCUAGCUCUUUUCGAUUACAUAAAUUGGAAUUUAAGUUGAUCUCUGUAACCUCGAAUUUAGUCUUCGAUUUUGAGAUUGUUUGAAGCUCGCAGUUCUCUCGUACAGCCCGGAGGAUUUCAUGAAGCUCGAAGCUUAUCUCCAUGAUUUACCGAGUUGAUUUUAUCGUAGUACAGAUUUCCCGAAUAAGCUCGACACUCGCGGGACUUUGGGAACUCGCAUUUAUUUGUGGAGCUCGAAAACACCUCUCGAAUUUCGCUCCGUGGAAACUCAAAAUCCCUUCCCAGAACUCUACGAGGAGACCCUAAGGAGGUAUUGGAGCUCGGCCUCAUUGAAGCCGUGCUGAUCUGGUAAGUUCUCGUGUGUCUUACCUAUUUCGAGGCUAAACAUGUGAAACAUAGAAAAUUCCCAAUGAAACAGAGGCUAUUAAAUUUCAGUCAGGUGUCUUUUUCCUUUGCUCGAUGAUCUAGAAAAUCUCGAAACCUAUCUUUUAAAAACGCUUUACAAAAUCGUUUGCCAAACACUGAAUGGGUAUAUGCAAUAUUGGUUUCUUCGAAGAGCCUUUUUUAGUAAUGAUAUUUUUUAUUGACGAAUCGAAUAAGUAUGCAUGAUAUUUUAAGAAAAUUUGUUAAUACAUCAUAAAUGGCAAGUAUGGCCCGCGUAGAUGUAAAAAUUAUUAUUGAGUCUUCAAUAGAGUAUUAAGUAUUUUAUUUUUGAGCAAAUGCAUUGGAGGAGAUUCAUGCAGAGGGUUUCCGCGCCCGGGAAUUUAGCUCGAGCUGAAUGGGCCACAAAAUUGGAGAGACAUGCUUGAGCAUCUGGCACCCUGUGGAUUUUUUGAAAAUGGACGAGCGUGGCGAAAUGAAUGGAAAAUCUAUCCGAGUAUUCAGAUAGCGAGCACGAGCUUGAUAAUCAUAAAUCUAUCUGAGUAUUCGGAUAGCGAGCACGAGCUCGUUAAGACAAAAUCUACCCGAGUAUUCGGGUAGCGAGCACGAGCUCGUUAAACUAAAAUCUAUCCGAGUAUUCAGGUAGCGAGCACGAGCUUGAUAAACAUAAAUCUAUCUGAGUAUUCGGAUAGCGAGCACGUGCUCGUUAAGACAAAAUCUACCCGAGUAUUCGGGUAGCGAGCACGAGCUCGUUAAACUAAAAUCUAUCCGAGUAUUCGGAUAGCGAGCACGAGCUCGUUAAACUGAAAUAUGUCCGAGUAUUCGGAUAGCGAGCACGAGCUCGUUAAGACAAAAAAUCUAUCCGAGUAUUCGGGUAGCGAGCACGAGCUCGUUAAGACAAAAAAUCUAUCCGAGUAUUCGGGUAGCGAGCACGAGCUCGUUAAACUGAAAUCUAUCCGAGUAUUCGGAUAGCGAGCACGAGCUCGUUAAGACAAAAAAUAUGUCCGAGUAUUCGGGUAAUGAGCACGAUCGCAUUAAUUAUCCGAAUAUCCGGGCAUCGGGCACGAGCUCGUUAAAAUAGAAAAUCUAUCCGAGCAUUCGGAUAGCGAGCACGAGCUCGUUAAAUAGAAAAAUCUAUCCGAGUAUUCGGGUAGCAAGCACGAGCUCGUUAAAUAGAGAAAUCAUCCGAGUGUGCGGGUAGAGCACGAGCUCAUAAGAUAGAGAAAUUAUCCGAGUAUUCGGGCAUCGAGCUCGUUAUAUAGAGAAUCUAUUCGAGUAUUUGGGUAGCGAGCUCGAGCUCGAUAAAUAGAGAAUCUACCCGAGUGUUCGGAUAACAAGCUCGAGCUCAUUAAACAUAAAAUCUAUUAAAGUAUUUGGAAACACGGGUUUUUCAUACUUCGCCAUAACGAGCACGAGCUUGGCUGAAAGAACAUUAUAGAUCGGAAUGUAUCAAAGUAAACAUGAAAUGAGGAAAAAAUCGAGAAGGUAAAAUUCUUACGAGACAUAUAACGAGAUGGCAGGGUGCGCUCAAUACGAAAAUCAUCAUACUCAGAAGUAUAAGCGAGAAAUUAGAUAUUGAUAGAACUAAUUAAACAUCAAGAAAAAUUGCAAAAAAACGUAAUCGGCGGGUUAAGAAAAUUUCGCAUACUCCAAGCCGACCUAUUCAUAUUCUGACGUUCAACUUGGAGUGGGGGACUAGUUGAUCCGCAGAUUUUGCACGACCCAACAAGGCAAGACCCAAUUGGAUUGGCCCAUGCCCAAUCGAAUUGGGCCCAUGUACAAAGAGGAAAUGAAGCCACAUGGUAUAGGUGAUGAGAAAAUAAGCGCGAGGAGACAAUAGGCGACGAGCAAGGCGAGCGGCGAGCAAGGCGAGCGGCGAGCAAGGCGAACGACGAGCGACGAGUAAUAAAUGACGAGUAGGAAGUGGAAAGUGCCACCUCAUUACUUAAUCACUAAGGCUUGGACUUGAAGUCACUUUAUUAAGUAAAAUGAAUAAACCUGUUGGAAUCCACAAAAAUAUCUUUACUAUAAAUAGAAGCAUAUAUCAUCUUCUUCAA